rnacentral:rRNA from 1 species
ACUCCUACGGGAGGCAGCAGUGGGGAAUAUUGCACAAUGGGCGCAAGCCUGAUGCAGCCAUGCCGCGUGUAUGAAGAAGGCCUUCGGGUUGUAAAGUACUUUCAGCAGUGAGGAAGGUGGGUAGUUAAUAGCAUAUUCAUUGAUCGUUGAUGCUGCAGAAGAAGCACCGGCUAACUCCGUGCCAGCAGCCGCGGUAAUACGGAGGGUGCGAGCGUUAAUCGGAAUUACUGGGCGUAAAGCGCAUGCAGGUGGUUUGUUAAGUCAGAUGUGAAAGCCC